rnacentral:snoRNA from 1 species
CGGCAACAAUGAUGACAGGAGUCGUACCUGUAUGUAAUGUGUCAUUACCACGUGGAGACACCAGUCCCUCUAAGCUGAUGUUGCCG